rnacentral:rRNA from 1 species
UACGGAGGGUGCAAGCGUUAUCCGGAUUCACUGGGUUUAAAGGGAGCGUAGGUGGCUUUGUAAGUCAGUGGUGAAAUCUUAGAGCUUAACUCUAAAACUGCCAUUGAUACUGCUUAGCUUGAAUCACGUCGAGGUGGAUGGAAUAUUACAUGUAGCGGUGAAAUGCUUAGAUAUGUAAUAGAACACCGAUUGCGAAGGCAGUUCACUAGGCGUGUAUUGACACUGAGGCUCGAAAGCGUGAGGAUCAAACAGG